AUUGAACGCUGGCGGCAGGCCUAACACAUGCAAGUCGAACGGUAACAGGAAACAGCUUGCUGUUUCGCUGACGAGUGGCGGACGGGUGAGUCAUGUCUGGGAAACUGCCUGAUGGAGGGGGAUAACUACUGGAAACGGUAGCUAAUACCGCAUAACGUCGCAAGACCAAGGAGGGGUACCCUCGGGCGUCUUGCCUUCGAAUUUUCCCUGAUGGCAUUAGCUUGUUGGUGGGGUAACGGCUCACCAAGGCGACGAUCCCUAGCUGGUCUGAGAGGAUGACCAGCCACACUGGAACUGAGACACGGUCCAGACUCCUACGGGAGGCAGCAGUGGGGAAUAUUGCACAAUGGGCGCAAGCCUGAUGCAGCCAUGCCGCGUGUAUGAAGAAGGCCUUCGGGUUGUAAAGUACUUUCAGCGGGGAGGAAGGGAGUAAAGUUAAUACCUUUGCUCAUUGACGUUACCCGCAGAAGAAGCACCGGCUAACUCCGUG
rnacentral:rRNA from 1 species